rnacentral:sRNA from 1 species
GGGGUUUCGCUCCCCUUUCCUUCCGCUAGUCCCGGCGAAGAUUCAAAAGGGACCCGACAACACUAAGGCGCGCAAAGGCACCACCGUGACGCUGACUGCGGAGAUCCUGGGAGAGCCUGCGCCCGACGUAGGCUGGACCAAGGACGGGGAGGACAUCGAGGAGGAUGACAGGGUGUUCUUCGAGAUCGGCAGCACCACCACGACGCUGACCAUUCGCCGGGCCACGCCUCAGGACAGCGGCAAGUACGAGGUGUACGUGGAGAACAGCCUGGGCAUGGACCAGAGCUUCGCUCGCGUGGACGUGGCCUGAACGGCACCCCCGGACCUUCCGCCCUGGCGCCGAGCCCGGGGGUGGUGGGACCCACAGCCCUCCACCAGCUUGGUUAAUAAAGCUGCUCUCUGACCCUC